AAAAAAUCAUCGCUGGCCUCGAUCUUCUCCCCUCACAUCUCUAUAUCUCUCUCUCUCUGUUAUCCCACUUCCGACCUUCCACCACCAGCUCACACGCUAGCUUAGCGCCGGCGGUCACCGCUCUCCCCGGCGGCUCCCCUCUCCAUGGCCUCAAUCUCCGUCUUCCCACCGUCUCUCGCCGCCCCAGUCACACGGCUCCACCGGCUCCCCGUCCUGAGGCGCAAUUCCUCGGCUCCCUACUCCCCCUGCCCGCCCUCCUGCUCGUACUCCGACGCCGCGAAGCCGCUGCUCCGAUCACCCGUCCACUACUCUUGCUCGACCGCGCCGCUCGUCGGGAGAGUCGGCCGGCAGUGGAGGGAGGGGAACGCCUCGCUCCUUUCCUUCGGGAUUAAGGUGAAGCCGGACGGCAAGGACGAGGCGUCCAGGAACGACGCGUCCCAGGCCCUGUCGGCAAUGCUCCCGUUCGUCGUCGCGGCCACGGCGGUCGCCGCCCUCGCGCAGCCCGCGACCUUCACGUGGGUGUCGAAGGAGCUCUAUGCGCCGGCUCUUGGCGGGAUAAUGCUAUCCAUAGGAAUCAAGCUCUCCCUUGAUGACUUUGCUCUCGCCUUUAAAAGGCCCGUCCCACUGUCGAUUGGGUUCAUUGCGCAGUACAUGCUUAAGCCCGCACUGGGCGUGUUGGUGGCCCAGGUGUUCGGGAUGUCCCAGUUGUUUUAUGCUGGGUUUGUGCUCACUUCUUGUGUUGCCGGGGCCCAGUUAUCGAGUUACGGGAGCUUCUUGAGUAAAGGAGACGUUGCUUUGAGCAUUCUUCUCACCAGCUCCACCACGAUUGCCUCCGUGCUCAUCACGCCUCUUCUCACUGGGCUUCUGAUUGGGUCUGUGGUGCCCGUGGAUGCUUUCGCAAUGUCCAAGUCAAUAAUGCAGGUGGUUCUUGUUCCGGUCACGCUCGGUCUGGUUCUGAACACUUACGCAAAACCAGUAGUUUCAGUUCUUCAACCUAUGAUGCCAUUUGUUGCCAUGGUUUGCACUGCAAUGUGUAUAGGAAGUCCUCUCGCCAUAAACCGCGCCCAAAUUUUGUCCGCGGAAGGUCUCCGAUUGGUCCUCCCUGUAUUAACAUUCCAUGCUGUGGCCUUCACUGUAGGAUAUUGGAUCUCGAAAAUCCCUGCUUUAAGGCAAGAAGAGGAGGUUAGCAGGACGAUAUCUUUAUGUACGGGAAUGCAGAGCUCGACGCUCGCUGGGCUUCUCGCGACCCAAUUUCUUGGGACCACUCAGGCGGUCCCUGCAGCAUGCUCAGUGGUUGCAAUGGCAAUCAUGGGACUCUGUCUUGCUUCCUUCUGGGGCAGUGGGGCCCGGAUCAAGGACUUACUUUCACUAGUCAUCCCUGAGAUCAGCCCCUCCAUGGAAGCAUAGUGGAUGAAUCAAGAACUCACUCGGGUGAUAUUGGAAACACUAAUCCAUUUGUUAUUCGGAAGGUGAGGGAUUGUACCACAUAAAUGAUGUAUAGGCAAAUUUAAUAUUUUUCUCAUGCCUCUGAGAGGAGGGCAGGGCGGAAAAUGAGACCUCCCUGUACAUAGUUUACCCGGAAGAGAUUGAUACGGGAAGCCACUUUGGAUGCAUAGGAAAGGAGAGGUGUGGAAGAAGUUUUGGUGACUCUCGGAAAUUCACAUUAGGAAGCUUUUGCAAACUGAGAAUGACUCCUAAAGGAAAGGAAUCUUGCCGUAUCUCUCCAAUUAUGUUGAUCGUGAGUGACAUUGAUGUGCUUUGGAUUUUAACAAAUUUCACGAGACUAUGAGCCGUUGAUUAAACAGACCUUGCAAAAAUGGGAAAGAAAGAUGGCAUUGACAGAACUAGAAGCAGCAGGACCCUUACUGAAGGAAUACGAACAAUGAGAUCUCAUAUGUAUCUCGUAUUCGGUAAUUAUCAUGUACUUUUCUAGAUGACUGAAGAUGAAUUGAAAGGUUUGGAAAUGAUCGAACCCAAAGUUGAAGAAGGAA